UAGGGAAUCUUCGGCAAUGGACGAAAGUCUGACCGAGCAACGCCGCGUGAGUGAAGAAGGUUUUCGGAUCGUAAAACUCUGUUGUUAGAGAAGAACAAGGACGUUAGUAACUGAACGUCCCCUGACGGUAUCUAACCAGAAAGCCACGGCUAACUACGUGCCAGCAGCCGCGGUAAUACGUAGGUGGCAAGCGUUGUCCGGAUUUAUUGGGCGUAAAGCGAGCGCAGGCGGUUUCUUAAGUCUGAUGUGAAAGCCCCCGGCUCAACCGGGGAGGGUCAUUGGAAACUGGGAGACUUGAGUGGAGAAGAGGAGAGUGGAAUUCCAUGUGUAGCGGUGAAAUGCGUAGAUAUAUGGAGGAACACCAGUGGCGAAGGCGGCUCUCUGGUCUGUAACUGACGCUGAGGCUCGAAGGCGUGGGGAGCAAACAGG
rnacentral:rRNA from 1 species